rnacentral:rRNA from 1 species
AUGAGGGCCCUAACAAACGAAGAGCGCAUCUCUUGGGACGGGCUGUCCCAGCAAUUAGGCGGCCAUCGCCUUCGGGCGGGGGCUGACACUGUCAAGUGGAGUUUGACAGCAUCCGGGAAAUUUACAGUGAAGUCCUUAUAUAACAAGCUAACUGGAGGGCCAGUGCUUGACAUAGCAAAGGGUCUGUGGAAGGCAGGCCUGCCCCUGAAGAUCAAGAUCUUUAUGUGGCAAAUGCUCAGGAAUAGGCUGCCUACUUCGGACAACAUAGCUAAACGGAACGGUCCGACCGACGGCACAUGCGUGAUCUGUGGGCAAGGGGAAGACGCGAAUCAUGUCUUCUUCCGGUGCCACCUGGCCAGGUUUAUGUGGAGUGCAGUUCGGGAGGCCUUCCACAUAGACUGGAACCCCGUUUCGGGGACAAAAUUGGUAUCGAUUCUAAAAUCCACUAAGGGGACCUCUAGCAGAAUCGCCUGGCGUUGCGUAGGGGCGUUACUAUGGGCACUUUGGACGACGCGAAACAAAAUUACGAUUGAAAAGAAAUUUCCUAACCACCCUGCAGACAUGAUCUUCAAAUGCCACCUAUUUUUGCAGAUGUGGACACCGCUGGGGAAGGAGUGCGAUGCUGAGCGCAUGACAGAAGCCAUGGAGCAUAUCAAGUCAAUUCAGACGAGGGCAAGACAAAACAUGACGAGUUGA